rnacentral:piRNA from 1 species
UGUGCUUGCUUCUGAUUUAUGCCAUCAAGU